rnacentral:lncRNA from 1 species
UGGCUGCUAAGCUGGCUGAAUAAGCUGAAGCGAACAGACCUCUUGUAGAAUUCGAACCUAUUUGAGUCCUCGACUCGCCACUGGUACUCGUAUUUUUCUGAAUUUAUUAGACGACGUGCCCAUUGAAUAGUGAAGCGUCGAUGGUACUUCAUAAAUCUUAAGGAUGCUCAUAGGGAUAGGGUUGUGUACGUGUAUUCAUAGGAUUGAGUAUGCAUGUAUUUGUGUGCAUCUACGUGUACGUGUUUUGCAAAAAGAAAAGUUAAUACUUUAAAGCGUUAAGUCAUAGUGCGUUUCUAAGCGUACACUUGGGCAUUUUAAAGAAAAAAAUCCCAGAUGUUUCAUAUAUAGAUAUAGAACGCGCACGCUCACUGGCUCGUCCAGCGCAAAACCACAAGUUCAGCAUAUUGGCUUUGGUUUUGAGCAAGUCAUCGUGUAAGUCAACUACCUAAUGACCCUUUCGGU